AAGGAUAACGGGUAACGCCCGCCAGGGGUGACCCUCGGACAAGUGCAACAGAAAUAUACCGCCGAGAAAUCGGUAAGGGUGGAAAAGUGAGGUAAGAGCUCACUCGUCACACGGAGACGUGCCGACGCUGUAAACUCUAUCCGGAGCAACGCCGUGGGAGGACACAUGAUUGGCCCGAUCGUCCUCAGGGGGCGGCUUGAGCCUGCCGGCAACGACAGGUUUAGAUAGAUGGUCGUUUAAGACAGAACCCGGCUUACAGACUCGCUCGA
rnacentral:RNase_P_RNA from 1 species